UCAGUAACACGUAGCUAACCUACCCUCUGGACAGAGACACCCCCGGGAAACUGGGGCUAAUCCUGAUAGGUGUGGAGGCCUGGAAUGGUUCCACGCCCAAAAGUAUAAUGACCAUGUUUGUUAUGCGCCAGAGGAUGGGGCUGCGGCCGAUCAGGCCGUUGGCGAGGUAACGGCUCACCAAACCUUUGACCGGUACGGGCCAUGAGAGUGGUAGCCCGGAGAUGGACACUGAGAUAGGGGUCCAGGCCCUACGGGGCGCAGCAGGCGCGAAAACUCCACACUGUACGUAAGUACGAUGGGGUUACCUCGAGUGUAGUCUGUAAAAGAUUGCUUUUCCAUAGAGUAAUAUCCUGUGGGAAUAAGAGGGGGGCAAGACUGGUGUCAGCCGCCGCGGUAACACCAGCCCCUCGAGUGGUAGGGACUUUUAUUUGGCCUAAAGCGUUCGGAGCCGUCUGUAACCGUUGCCCGUUAAAUCCAGCGUCUCAAGCGUUGGACUGCGGGCGAUACCUUACAGAUUGAGGGUGGGAUAGGUAAGCGGUAUUUCUGGGGUAGGGGCGAAAUCCUUUGAUCCCAGGAGGACCACCAGUGGCGAAGGCUGCUUACUAGAACACGCCUGACGGUCAGGAACGAAAGCUGGGGUAGCGAACCGGAUUAGAUACCCGGGUAGUCCCAGCUGUAAACGAUGCGCGCUAGGUGUUGGGUCGGCCAUGCGCCGCCCCAGUGCCGCAGGGAAGCCGUUAAGCGCGCCGCC
rnacentral:rRNA from 1 species